rnacentral:lncRNA from 1 species
UCUUUUUAUUUUAUUUAUUUAUUUUUUGACAAUUUCUCUUUGCUUUUAUGGGGGAGAGAAAGUUUUUCCUUGCUUAGGAGGAAAAUGACAGGUCUUUACUUGGUUGUUUGUGCUGAGACCACACUCUAAGAUAUAUUUGAAAAGUACCUCAGCUGAAGCAGCCUCUGCUAGUUCACAGAAGAACACAAAGAAGCUACCCGCACAAAGCUGGAUAAGUCAGUAAGAGAAGAUUCCAUGGGAUCUAAGAACAGAAAUCUGUGUUUUAGUGUCAUCUUAUUAUCCCUACCUUAUUUCUUGGCCUCUCUGUGCUCUUGACUUUAAUUCAGGGUAAGUAGCCCUUGAUCCCCUUCCCCUCUUCAGACACGGGCUUCCACAUUGGCUACCCGACGCCUGCUUCUGGAGACUCCUCUGUUGAGUACCUGCCUUUGCAGUGGUUGCCCCAAAGCUGUAGUGAGACAGUGACAUGGUUGCCUGAGACUGUGCUGUAAGCAGAACAUGUGCGGAUGAAGGUUUCCUUACUCCAGACUGGAGGAGAUGGGUCAACCAUAGUUCUUCAUAUAUGGCGGAUACUGUUUAUAUUGCAGACAGCAGUGACAGAAAAAUUAUGAUCGAUGCUUAUUUUAUUUCAGUGGAAGACACAAUUCCAUGAAUCAGAAGACAACAAAUGCCAAGAAAGGACCAGUUAAAAAGGUUCCAAGAUCAAACCAUCUUCCAAAACUCAACCCGUGACUCCAGAGCUGGGCAGACUUCUAUUUUUUCCAUCUUUUUCGUCAUUCAGUGUCUUCAGUUUAGGAAGCUAAUGUUCAAUACAUUCCUCAGGGGAGGAAAUAGAUGAGGGAGAGCGGCUUCUCUCACUCUUUCAAAAGUUGAUUCUUCUGCCUGCAUAAAAGUCAUGGGUCUCCAGCAACCCUAAAUAUCCAGUACAUGUGCUUAUAGUUCUUACAAUACCUUAGAAGGGACCCGAAGGUUGACAUCCUUCUGGCACUCUCAGUAGAGUGUUUCUGAUAUUCUCUGAUUGCACUUUUAUGUUGUAUUUGGUUUCUAAAUUGACCAUUAGUUAGAACUAUAUAUUGUUUUAUAUAUUAUAUAUAAUAUCUCCACCUUUUUGUUAUUUUAAAUUGCAUCAUGCUCAGUUCAACUUUCUAAAAUCAAGGUUUCAACAUAUUCCCAGAUCACAUGCAUAUGAAAGUUUCAGGAAAAUAUUAUCAAUAACUUCAGCCAUGCACUGCAUUGUUCUUGCCCCCAUCCCCCCCCCCCCCGCCAGUAACCUUGAGGAUUUAGGGUUAUCCUAUCACCUCAUGUUUAUUUCCUACAUCUAGAAAAAUGGCUGUGCUAAACUGUAUAAUUUAUAAAAUUUCUAGAAAUUCAGUCACAGGGGUCUGCCACUGUGUAUGUGGCAUUAAAGUCAUUUUGUGACAUUUACUAAUUCACAAAAAUGGUCUAGUUUUUGGACCAAACUUUGCAGGAGUUUGGAAUACUGGAGACUAGAAGGAAAUAGAGGGAGAAUAAGAAAUUGUUUUUAGGACCUAUGAACUUUAUUGAAUUUUAUUCAUGUUUAGGGUGUUUUGUGACUCGAAUGUUUUUUCUAAUUGUAGUAGAGAUCAGGAAGAUUCAUAUAACUUACCCAUUUAAAUGAGAGAAAUUAUUGGAAUUUAAAUUUCUUGUGCAUGUUAAGCAAGUGGUGUUUUAACCUAUAUCUGAUGAAAAAAGUCAUUUGUUUCCUUUUAUAUGUAAUGUGCCUUUUACACCUGAGGGGUUUAUGUGUAUGUAUGUAUGUGUGUAUGUAUGUAUGUAUGUAUGUAUGUAUGUAUUAUGCAUAAUAUGUACAUGUAUGUGUAGAUAAUAGAACCAUAAUGCUGCACUCAUGAACUUGCAGUAGCUAUGGUUGCCUGCACAAAACCUGCUCAAGAUCAAGCUAGCCAACAUUCCAGCUCCAGUGGCAGAGGGACACAUGGGCCUCACCCCUAGCUGAGAAGCUGGUGACAGCAAGGUCUGCUAGGAGAGGGAGAGUCCGUCCUUUUAAGGGUGUGGUCCCUGGUAGGUUCAGAAUGAUCCAGUAGAUGGCCCCACGGCUAUGUAUUUAUGGACAGCACUAACUGGCUUCAAUGGAAUAGAUGUGUGUGUGAAUAAACAUAUAUAUGGAUGUAUAUGUGUGUAUGUAUACACACGUAUUUAAAGAUAUGCUGUUGGGAAGGGGUUAUGGGAUCUUGGAAUUGGUGUGUGUAUGAAAUAAAUACAUUGUAUACAUGUGUGAAAUUAUCGAAGAAUAAAAUAUUUUAAUAAAAUGGAAUAUUGACAUGAUAGGGCUUUAAUGUACAUAUUUUCUCUUUCUUUAUUUCUCUUCCAAGUUUGUUUCUAAAGACUGAUUUUUCUCCUGGCUUUGGGUCUCCCAUUCUGCUUCAUAUAUCUAUACAGUUUUUAUUGGAUGUUGAGUAUCAAUAAUAUCAUAUUGCAGAUUGCAAUAUUCCUAUGAGCAUUUAAAUUGCUUACAGUUCUAUUUAACGCCUCAGACUUCCAUUGGAGUGAGUAAACCUGCCAAGAGUGAGGUUGUUAAGAUAUAGCUAGCCUGAGGCCCCAGUGAAGUUACCGUGAAUGACACAAAGGACACAUAGCUCUGCUUGGCCCAGACCUGGAUGCCUGGAGACCUGUAGGCACUCUGCUUCACCAUUUUGCAAUUUAUGCCUUGGUGUCCUGUAGGGGCUCGUGGUAUCCUGUGCAGACUUGGGGUUCUGUUUUUGGACAGGCCUUUGUGUUCACCAUCAGCCUCUUCCACCAGCUUCUGUCUCCUCUAAUGUGGGAAACGGACCUGUUACCAUGGUACUUCCUUCUCUGAAGUCUGUGAUGUGUAUAGGGGAGGAGCUAAGGAGGCAACUGGACUUGCUGCCUUCUCAAGGAUCCCCUCUUACACCUGCAAACAACUCUUUUAUCUAUUUUUAUCUACCCUUCUAUUUAGUCACAGUGAAUGGCUAAAUUUGGCUCUGCCACUCUUGCAAGGCCAGAACUGAAGAACACAUUCACUUGAUAUUAAAACUAUUUUUAAAGC